rnacentral:rRNA from 1 species
UAAACCAAAGAGAUACUGAUGUACCACAAACUACUUUUAGGUUCUUCCUGCCCCUCCUAACUAGAUAGAAACGGUAAGUCGAACUUUUUCAUACAAGGCAGAUCCUGUCUCUUGGUACUCAUAGUGGUGACAACCUCCUUUUUCGAUCUCGUUAAUACAAAGAUGAAAGUACGUAAUACCAACAGAUAAGACCCUUCCUAUCUCAAUUUACCUCAAUCAUUCUGGUAUAAACUACGACUAGUAUUCUAUGGUUGCCCGAGGUACCGAUAUACAGGAUGCGAGGAGAACUACUGUAUAUACUCCUGAGCGUUGGGACUCGGACCUUCUGUUGGCAACUCCGCCACCAGUACCCCGUUGCUAUCAGCUAUCGAUGAUAGUCUUGUAUUUGCAUACCGGGAGGAACAACGUAACUUCCUAAUAGCAGAUAACCUAAACGUCUUGGUCAAUUACUGUUCUACUACCGUCAUCGUUACCUCCCAGCACCAAAGACUUACGACUCUGAAGGUCAAAAAUCCUACCCAAUAAAUCAUACUUGUUUAUACGGUUGUAAGUAAUCAGCAUGAUAAAGAACUCCACUACGGUGACGAUGUCCAUACUGUAAUAGUAACCUGGAAGUUGAUAUAAAUAUAAUACAUAUACGAAGGUCUCUCAUGAAAAAAGACAUGAUAUAUGAUUUACUUUUUUUUUAAGAAAAUACGAUUUUGUACUGUACCGAUUAAUCAUUAACGUGAUGUAAGGACUAUUGAAAAUUUGAAAACCUUCUGUACUGUCACAACUUGGAACUAAUCCAUGUAUGUAUUUCAUGAUGGGAAAUUGCUAAACUUUUCCGUACAGGACACUAUGUUGAGCGGAACGAUUGACACGAUGUUUCACAGAUUUGGAACGUAAAAUAUAGUCCUACCAUUUUAAAGUUGUUAUGUAGUAGCAAGUUUGAUUUGACUUGAACUAUCUCAAAGUGACCUACGUUUUGGUGGCAACUAUUAAAUCGAUUAGCGAGUACUUCAACCACCAAUGAGAUGUGACGUCUCAUGACAUUUUAUCCUUUUGUGAUUAUUUACAACAUCAACAUAUAACUGAUAUUCACUUGGUCAAGAUUAACGAUUAAUUUUAUGUUUACUUCCUUGUGAACGCACUAGUAUGACGUUAAUUAAAUUGCAUGGAAUCUAAACUUUCUGACGAACAAAAGGGGGAAGAUAACGGUUCAAGUACCAAAGGAGCAACAGUAUAACAAGUGUUUCUUAAAAAAGAGGCUCCAAGGAUUUGGGUUAUCAACUUACGGGGGGUCAGUUUAAACCCUUACCUACGAAAUUACAUCUUCGGGUAGAUUAAUUUCCUUUACUCCUGUCCCGUUGGUAUCGAAUGAACCGUCUUUGGACGAGGCCCAAGCAUAUUCGACUUAUGACCGCGUUCAAUGAAACUACUACCUUGUCCAAGUCAACGACGUCACGAAUCUUUGAGAGCUCCCCUUCGAUAACGCCCUCGAAGGCUCGAUUAACUGGUACAAGAAUUACGGGUUUGAAGACUUUGAAACCGCGACAACGCUCCAAACUUCGAAGAAAGUCUCUAACCCACGUGGUUCCACUGUCAGCUUAGUCUAACAGAUCUUGACUAACUUCGUGCAUCACCUUUUUAACUCUAAAACCCAGGGUUACAUCGUUAUGAACGUCUGAAAAAAGUAUAACGAGUACUUUAAGGACCUUAAACAAAGUUCGUAACAGGUUCACUUCGAUUACCUAACCGUGUAAAAGACCGAUCCAUGAGAAUACUACAAUUGAGUUCAAAACAAACCCGUCUACAACGAGGGUCAAAAAAUGAAAGAGUACAUGAGCUGCUACAUUGUGACGGUG